rnacentral:misc_RNA from 1 species
GAUGAAGAACGUAGCGAAAUGCGAUAAGUAGUGUGAAUUGCAGAAUUCAGUGAAUCAUCGAAUCUUUGAACGCACAUUGCGCCCCUCGGUAUUCCGUGGGGCAUGCCUGUUCGAGCGUCAUUUAACCCCUCAAGCCUAGCUUGGUAUUGGGUGCUUGUCCCGCCUCUCGCGCGGCGACUCACCUCAAAGUCAUUGGCAGCCCGCAUCUCGCCGGCCGUGAGCGCAGCACAGACGCGCUCUUGGCAACGACGGAUCGGCUCUCCAAAAGCUUAUUUCAACCACUGACCUCGGAUCGGGUAGGGAUACCCGCUGAACUUAAGCAUAUCAAUAAGCGGAGGA